CCUAACACAUGCAAGUCGAACGAAGUUACACAGAGGAAGUUUUCGGAUGGAAUCGGUAUAACUUAGUGGCGGACGGGUGAGUAACGCGUGGGAAACCUGCCCUGUACCGGGGGAUAACACUUAGAAAUAGGUGCUAAUACCGCAUAAGCGCACGGAACCGCAUGGUUCUGUGUGAAAAACUCCGGUGGUACAGGAUGGUCCCGCGUCUGAUUAGCCAGUUGGCAGGGUAACGGCCUACCAAAGCGACGAUCAGUAGCCGGCCUGAGAGGGUGAACGGCCACAUUGGGACUGAGACACGGCCCAAACUCCUACGGGAGGCAGCAGUGGGGAAUAUUGCACAAUGGGGGAAACCCUGAUGCAGCGACGCCGCGUGAGUGAAGAAGUAUUUCGGUAUGUAAAGCUCUAUCAGCAGGGAAGAAAAUGACGGUACCUGACUAAGAAGCCCCGGCUAACUACGUGCCAGCAGCCGCGGUAAUACGUAGGGGGCAAGCGUUAUCCGGAUUUACUGGGUGUAAAGGGAGCGUAGACGGCAUGGCAAGCCAGAUGUGAAAACCCAGGGCUCAACCUUGGGAUUGCAUUUGGAACUGCCAGGCUGGAGUGCAGGAGAGGUAAGCGGAAUUCCUAGUGUAGCGGUGAAAUGCGUAGAUAUUAGGAGGAACACCAGUGGCGAAGGCGGCUUACUGGACUGUAACUGACGUUGAGGCUCGAAAGCGUGGGGAGCGAACAGGAU
rnacentral:rRNA from 1 species